UUUUUUCUUGACUUAUCUCCUCCCCUACGGCAGCUUCUUGAUCACGCCUCCUUCGCCCCGUCUUCUUCACAUUUCUCUUGUUCUACUUUCAUUUUCUCUGCAACCGAAGCUGCCCAUCAUCUCGCCUACAUCCACCACCGAAAUUUCUCCACCGAGCUGCCAACUGCCCAUGAUUCAGCCCUCCGCAGUCAACAAUUGAAGACGGUGUUGACUCCUUGCCACGAUCUCCACUCAGCAGCGACAAAACACUGCAACUCCAUUUCAUUUUGCCGCUACCAGCAUGUCCACGUCCGCACGAUUCCACCGAAGCAGUUGACUGCUUCCGCCUCUGACCUUGCUCCGCACGAACCACUGCAGCAACGACACAGCUUCAUCUCCUGCCCCAUUUGCUGCCACGAAGCCACUCCACCGAUUCUCUUCUCACCGUUGACCCAUCUGCCAC
rnacentral:lncRNA from 1 species